rnacentral:rRNA from 1 species
AUGCCGCCGUUUCGACGGGACCGCGCCCGUCCCUCGGCGACGCCACCACCGUACACCAACGGGUGGCUGUGGCGGCACCAGCAACGACACCGGACCAGGCGCGCCGGCGCCGAGGGAAAAAAGGCUCUGCCUGGCGUGUCCUCGUCCGCCACCGACAUCGUCCGCUGCGGGGCGACGUGCAGUCACUCGGUAAACGCCGUGGCCACGCACGCCGACGCCAUCUCCCGCUCUCUGCCGCCGCCCGCGCAAUUCCUCCCCCACCUCGCUCUCGGCUUCUUCCACCAGGAAGCCCGCGCCCCCCGCGCCUCCCCCGCGCUGCCGCCGCGCUUCGUCCCGACGGAAGCCGCCUCGCGCCUCCUGGGCCCCCGCCCCCAGCUCGAACACGUCGCCGCCGGGCUGUUCGACCACGCCCGCCCUGUCGCAUCCCGCAACGGCCGUGUUGUCCUGGAGCUCCGGCGCGAGGCGCGCGCCGACGGCCUUACGCUCAGCGUGUGCAACCCCAUGACGGGGGAAAUCUCCAUGCUCCCUCCGCUCUCCGGCGACCACUGCCCCGGGCACUACGUGUGUGCGAUACUCACCGGCGACGACCUAGACGUGCCCGCGCCGUCGGGCUUCUUCCGCGUGCUCCUCGUCUACAACCGCCGUAGCUUCACGGCGCUGCGCUCCUGCUCCUCUGCCGACGCCGACGCCGGCGUCGCAUGCCGCUGGGGGCCGGAAGAAAGGAAACCCGGCGGCAAGAUCAGCGCCAACAUGCUGCGCGGUCUUGGCCACGCCGUCGUGGUCGGCGGCGCGGCCUACUGGCCCAUGCACCACGAGGCGUUCGGCGUGCGGCUCGACGGCCCGCCGUCGGAGCCCAUGGAUAUGUGUCCGGUGCCCUACAGGCAGUCGCACUAUUACGCCGGCGAGCGCCUGCUGGGCACCUCCCCGGACGGGAAGCGCCUGAGCCUCCUCGACGUGGGCUUCCUGGGAUGCACGGACUUCUGCAUCAACAUCGAGACCCAGACGGCUGCCGGCGGGGAGUGGGAGGGGCACGAACAGGCCCGACUCAAACUCAUCAGCCUACCCGAGCUCGGGAUUACCAUGACAACGGCGUUUAAGCUGCGGUGGUUCGGCGAGAAGAGCGGCACCGUGAUAUUCACCGUCGGAGAAGGAGGAGGGUGCACCAGUCAGGGCGUCUUCAUAUUGAACAUCACGACAAGAUGCCUCGAGAAGGUUGCCGACGGCGUCGAGUGCCACGCGUGGAAAUACUUGUGCGGCUACGAGAUGGACCGCGAGGCGCUCUUUGCGUCGUCCGAUAGAUCGGUCCUGACUUCUCGCUAA